rnacentral:rRNA from 1 species
AUUGAACGCUGGCGGCAGGCCUAACACAUGCAAGUCGAACGAGUGGCGGACGGGUGAGUAAUGCGUGGGAACCUGCCCUUAAGUCUGGGAGACCAUUUGGAAACAGAUGCUAAUACCGGAUACUAAAGGAUGGACCAGCGUUGAAUUAGCUAGUGGGUAAGGUAACGGCUUACCAAUGCGAUGAUGCAAAGCCGAGUUGAGAGACUGAUCUGCCACAUUGGGACUGAGAAACGGCCCAGACUCCGCCGGGAGGCAGCAGGUGGGAAUAUUGCACAAUGUGCGCAAGCCUGAUGAAGCCAUGCCGCGGGUAUGAAGAAGGCCUUCGGGUUGUAAAGUACUUUCAGCGAGGAGGCGUUACUCGCAGAAGAAGCACCGGCUAACUCCGUGCCAGCAGCCGCGGUAAUUC